rnacentral:rRNA from 1 species
GGACGAACGCUGGCGGCGUGCCUAAUACAUGCAAGUAGAACGCUGAAGGAGGAGCUUGCUCUUCUGGAUGAGUUGCGAACGGGUGAGUAACGCGUAGGUAACCUGCCUGGUAGCGGGGGAUAACUAUUGGAAACGAUAGCUAAUACCGCAUAACAGUAGAUGUUGCAUGACAUUUGCUUAAAAGGUGCAAUUGCAUCACUACCAGAUGGACCUGCGUUGUAUUAGCUAGUUGGUGGGGUAACGGCUCACCAAGGCGACGAUACAUAGCCGACCUGAGAGGGUGAUCGGCCACACUGGGACUGAGACACGGCCCAGACUCCUACGGGAGGCAGCAGUAGGGAAUCUUCGGCAAUGGACGGAAGUCUGACCGAGCAACGCCGCGUGAGUGAAGAAGGUUUUCGGAUCGUAAAGCUCUGUUGUAAGAGAAGAACGAGUGUGAGAGUGGAAAGUUCACACUGUGACGGUAUCUUACCAGAAAGGGACGGCUAACUACGUG